rnacentral:lncRNA from 1 species
UGAUUAAAAUCACAAGUGAGUCAUUACAAAAGCAGAAAUCCACUGCAGAAACGAGGGUUUGGGGGAAACCGAAAGCUCAGACAACGCUAGAGAAGGAGGCAGCAGUGGGAAGGGUUGGGUGUUGCCCCCCUCCGCAACCCAUGAUCUCCGAUUUCCCCCCGAAAUUCAACAGCCCUUACAUCUGGGAUGGAACUCCGAUCGUCUGAUCAUCCGAUUGCUUGUUGACUGGACUGCUUCUUCUACAAUAUUUUCUUUUUGGGUUGAGACUUACCGUAUCUUGGCGGGGUAAUCUCCGGAGGCUUGGCGGUAGUUUUCACCGUUGAAGCAGCCGCGUUGUUUGCAGCCAUGGCGAAUGCAAGUUCACCAUUUUGGCUGUCACAAUCGGUGGUGCUGGUGACCUGAGAACAUGGGAUGGAGAGGACCAAGAUGACGACGGUGUUAGAAGUAUACUUUUUCCGGUAACCAUUGGGAUCAAUCAAACAAGAUCUCGGUUUUGAACAAUUCAUCAGCCCUCACCAUCAUUCAACCUUUUUAUGUUACUUGAGAUAUCAAGGCGAACUUAUUUCAAAAGAUGAAGCGUAGAAGAAAUUUUACAACUCUAGCUUGGGAUGAUUGGUUUAAGUUCAACGGUUGUGUUAAACUACCAUUUUCUUGUGUGUUUUUUUUACCGAAUGUAUUAUCUUCAUCCUACUAAAUCAAUAACAUCAUUUCUCUAACUUUAUUUGUAGGAGAUGCGUUAAACAUAAAUAGAAGAUAAAUUUAACCUC